AAUCAACAGCUUUCUUUAAUCUGUCAAAGCCCGUACAUUUAAUUUUAUUAUACUCGAUUCAAUGAAUCGCAUGAAUUUUUGUGUUUGUUAUGAUCUCAGUCUAAUCAACGAAUUCAGCGGUAAUUUCAUGUAAAAUUGAAUUAAAUUGAUUUGACAAUUAGAUUUCUUAGUUUAAUUUAAUGCAUACAUCAACUUAGUUGUGUUCUAAUAAUAGGAUUUGAUUGAAGCAUAGUGUUAGUUAGCAAAAUGUGCAAAUGAUAAUGUGACAGAAACGUACAAUUUAUCUUAAUAGUUGACCUCGUACGCAACAGUAUUAUGUCCUCGAAUGUAAGAUUAUCAGAGAAAAAUUCGGGCAGCGAAAGUGUUAUGCCGAGAAAAACGGUGCCAAAAAACAGCAUUGACAUUCGAACUAAUAAGGAGUAUUUAGGCGGUAAAAGUGAUGAAUCAACGUCGUCUAAGCAAAAGAAAGUUAAAAGCAACAGUACCAAAAGCAAAAAUGCUUCCACAAGUUCGAGCGGUGCCGAGCUACAAGUACCAAAAGUGAGCAGCAGCAGUAGCAGCUGUUGUGACUUGCCGCUACAGUCUUAUGCCGUAGAAAAUUCGAAAUCCGGCUCAAAAAUCUCAGAACGAGCUAAACGAAAAUCCUGGUACAAUGUCAUCUAUCCGUCAUACAAAUCGCGGGCGGAGAAUUUUAAAAAAUAUUUCAAAGAAGUUCCCGAAGAUGAACGAUUGGUUGUUGAUUAUUCAUGCGCUUUACAGCGUGAAAUUUUGGUACAUGGUCGAAUGUACGUUACACAGCAUUAUAUGUGUUUUCAUGCGAAUAUUUUCGGUUGGGAGACAUUCUUGUGUUUGAAAUGGGAGAAUGUAACAGCUAUCACGAAGGAAAAGACGGCGUUGGUCAUUCCAAAUGCCAUUCUCAUUUCAACCGAAACGGAAAAGUAUUUCAUCACAUCGUUUGCUGCCCGUGAUAAAACCUACUUGAUGCUAUUUCGAAUUUGGCAAAAUGCUUUGAUGGACAAACCAAUGCCACCGCAAGAGAUAUGGCAGUGUGUUCAUAACGCUUACGGUGAACAAUUGGGUUUAACGAGUGAUGAUGAGGACGAUUACAUCGAUCCGAAGAAAAAUCCACCGAUAAAAGAUGCGGAACCAAUAAUCGAAAAACCGCCUGCAAAGACAGAUAUGGAUCAAUCGUCCGAAAAAAAUUCGAGUGUAAAAAUGAGAGUGGCAGAGACACAUGGUUCUGGUGAUUCAUCCACACUACGCCCAAAUCAAUCGAAAUUGAAAAUGCGAAAGGAGGAGAACGAAUGUCCAACUGACGCGUCCAAUUCAACAGAUUCCGAGGAAGAAAACUGUGUUCCGUUUGAAUGCACCGCAGAGUGUUCAUCUGAUCACGAAGGACGCCAAUUAGUACACACAAUUCUUCCAAUCAACGUGGAUAGCCUAUUGACGAUGCUAUUCUCAAAAUCGAAAUUCUUUGCCGAAUUUCAUAGUAUGCGCAAAACAACAAACAUGGUCUACAGAGACUGGGUCGACAAUGGCGAUGGCACUAAAACUAGAAUCAUCAAUUUAACCGUCGCUGUAACACAACCGGUCGGCCCAAAAACAUCCAAUAUUACCGAAGUACAAGUGAUGCGCAACUGCAGUGUGCCCGGUCAAUUGUAUUCUAUUGAUAUUGUAUCAACCAAUGCCGGAAUUCCAUAUGCUGAUAGUUUCAAUAUUGGCACACAUUAUUGUCUGUUGAGAACUGUUGAUGAUCACACAAUGCUCUCUGUAUACGUGCAAAUAAACUAUACGAAAUCGGUUUGGGGCGUGAUUAAGGGUUUUAUUGAGAAAAAUGUUUGGUGUGGUUUGGAAAAUUUCUACAAAGACUUGGUCAAAGCGCUACAAAGUGAAUAUUGCAUUCCUCCAGCCAAAUCGAAAAGCCGACGAACGAAGCGUGCUUUAUCACAAAAGUUGUCUGUGGACGAAGAUGCAAGUAAACGAUCGUCGCUAAAAUCAACAACAAAAACAGCUCCAGCACAAUCAACAACUCCAGCACAAUCAACAGCUCCUCAACCAUCGUCCGAUACAACCAAAUCGAACACGAUGAGCACGCAAUGUACGACUGAAACGUUUCCAGACCAAACAAAUAAUCGCAGCAUUUACACGUUGGACAUGUUUUCCAUAUUUUUAGUGAUAUUGAUUGUCACACUGGUUUUACUGAAUCUGUAUCUCCUCAUCGAAUUAUAUGUGCUAAAACAUCAACAGAACUAUGGCAUUCACAUCGAUCAAGAUCUACUGGACAAAUUGGCAGCCACUGAUGAUCCGAAUGAGAUGAAGGAGAGAUUCCUGAGUAUGAUGAAUGAACAAGAAGCCGAACAUGGGGUUGAGCUAGAGAAAUGGCAGGGUUUUAUUAAAAUGACCAUGGAUUUAUUGCAGAAUGUUAAAGAAGAGUAUGCUAAAUUAGACUUAGAUACGAAUAAUGCUGAAAAAAAUAUCAAGGAUGAAUUUUAGAACCGUUUCCCUCGCAUUUAAGCGUGUAGCGUAAUUCAUUGAAAGAUGAAAAAAAGUCGUACAAGUUUGCGAGAGAGAGAGAGAAAUCACCACGAUGCAAUUCCAUUAAAAUAAUUGAAUGAUAUUAAAACUAGGGUUUUGCUGCAAAAGUGCUAAUAUUGUGCUAUUAUUUCUAGUAAAAUCGCUUGCAGAGCGUAUUACACUGUGAAUACAACGCUUAUGGAAGACCUAUGGGGACUAUUUUGUAAACAAUAAACAAUACGUCCAUAAGCGUUAACAUUGGCAAAACAAACUCUCUAAUUUCUCCUAUUGCUCCAUUAUCGUUGAAUAAUGUUCUAAUUUUACUCAUUUAAGUUUCAUGUCUCCCCCCUAGUAUUAAAACCAUAUUAAUUUCCAUGUGAUUUGUAGUGUUAUACAUUGGAGUGGCUGUUGCCCAAGUGGCUGUUGCCCAAGUGUGAAAUGAUCAAUUGAAUAAAAUGAAUGAAUAUGCAUUUAAUGGCAAUACGUUUUAAA